UACAGAGGGUGCAAGCGUUAAUCGGAAUUACUGGGCGUAAAGCGCGCGUAGGUGGUUUGUUAAGUUGGAUGUGAAAUCCCCGGGCUCAACCUGGGAACUGCAUUCAAAACUGACAAGCUAGAGUAUGGUAGGGGGUGGUGGAAUUUCCUGUGUAGCGGUGAAAUGCGUAGAUAUAGGAAGGAACACCAGUGGCGAAGGCGACCACCUGGACUGAUACUGACACUGAGGUGCGAAAGCGUGGGGAGCAAACAGG
rnacentral:rRNA from 1 species